rnacentral:rRNA from 1 species
UACGUAGGGUGCGAGCGUUGUCCGGAAUUCUUGGGCGUAAAGAGCUCGUAGGCGGUCUGUCGCGUCGGAUGUGAAAAUCCAGGGCUCAACCCUGGACCUGCAUUCGAUACGGGCAGACUAGAGUUCGGUAGGGGAGACUGGAAUUCCUGGUGUAGCGGUGAAAUGCGCAGAUAUCAGGAGGAACACCGGUGGCGAAGGCGGGUCUCUGGGCCGAAACUGACGCUGAGGAGCGAAAGCGUGGGGAGCGAACAGG